rnacentral:rRNA from 1 species
GACGAACGCUGGCGGCGUGCUUAACACAUGCAAGUCGAACGGUAAGGCCCUUCGGGGUACACGAGUGGCGAACGGGUGAGUAACACGUGGGUGAUCUGCCCUGCACUUCGGGAUAAGCCUGGGAAACUGGGUCUAAUACCGGAUAGGACUCCGGACUGCAUGGUCUGAGGUGGAAAGCUUUUGCGGUGUGGGAUGGGCCCGCGGCCUAUCAGCUUGUUGGUGGGGUGAUGGCCUACCAAGGCGACGACGGGUAGCCGGCCUGAGAGGGUGAACGGCCACACUGGGACUGAGAUACGGCCCAGACUCCUACGGGAGGCAGAAGUGGGGAAUAUUGACAAUGGGCGCAAGCCUGAUGCAGCGACGCCGCGUGAGGGAUGACGGCCUUCGGGUUGUAAACCUCUUUCAGCAUCGACGAAGCGAAAGUGACGGUAGGUGCAGAAGAAGGACCGGCCAACUACGUGCCAGCAGCCGCGGUAA